rnacentral:rRNA from 1 species
UAAGGGCGCACGGUGGAUGCCUUGGCACUAGAAGCCGAUGAAGGACGUUACUAACGACGAUAUGCUUUGGGGAGCUGUAAGUAAGCUUUGAUCCAGAGAUUUCCGAAUGGGGAAACCCAGCAUGAGUUAUGUCAUGUUAUCGAUAUGUGAAUACAUAGCAUAUCAGAAGGCACACCCGGAGAACUGAAACAUCUUAGUACCCGGAGGAAGAGAAAGAAAAUUCGAUUCCCUUAGUAGCGGCGAGCGAAACGGGAAGAGCCCAAACCAACAAGCUUGCUUGUUGGGGUUGUAGGACACUCUAUACGGAGUUACAAAGGACGACAUUAGACGAAUCAUCUGGAAAGAUGAAUCAAAGAAGGUAAUAAUCCUGUAGUCGAAAAUGUUGUCUCUCUUGAGUGGAUCCUGAGUACGACGGAGCACGUGAAAUUCCGUCGGAAUCUGGGAGGACCAUCUCCUAAGGCUAAAUACUCUCUAGUGACCGAUAGUGAACCAGUACCGUGAGGGAAAGGUGAAAAGCACCCCGGAAGGGGAGUGAAAUAGAACCUGAAACCGUGUGCUUACAAGUAGUCAGAGCCCGUUAAUGGGUGAUGGCGUGCCUUUUGUAGAAUGAACCGGCGAGUUACGAUUUGAUGCAAGGUUAAGCAGUAAAUGUGGAGCCGUAGCGAAAGCGAGUCUGAAUAGGGCGUUUAGUAUUUGGUCGUAGACCCGAAACCAGGUGAUCUACCCUUGGUCAGGUUGAAGUUCAGGUAACACUGAAUGGAGGACCGAACCGACUUACGUUGAAAAGUGAGCGGAUGAACUGAGGGUAGCGGAGAAAUUCCAAUCGAACCUGGAGAUAGCUGGUUCUCUCCGAAAUAGCUUUAGGGCUAGCCUCAAGUGAUGAUUAUUGGAGGUAGAGCACUGUUUGGACGAGGGGCCCCUCUCGGGUUACCGAAUUCAGACAAACUCCGAAUGCCAAUUAAUUUAACUUGGGAGUCAGAACAUGGGUGAUAAGGUCCGUGUUCGAAAGGGAAACAGCCCAGACCACCAGCUAAGGUCCCAAAAUAUAUGUUAAGUGGAAAAGGAUGUGGCGUUGCCCAGACAACUAGGAUGUUGGCUUAGAAGCAGCCAUCAUUUAAAGAGUGCGUAAUAGCUCACUAGUCGAGUGACACUGCGCCGAAAAUGUACCGGGGCUAAACAUAUUACCGAAGCUGUGGAUUGUCCUUUGGACAAUGGUAGGAGAGCGUUCUAAGGGCGUUGAAGCAUGAUCGUAAGGACAUGUGGAGCGCUUAGAAGUGAGAAUGCCGGUGUGAGUAGCGAAAGACGGGUGAGAAUCCCGUCCACCGAUUGACUAAGGUUUCCAGAGGAAGGCUCGUCCGCUCUGGGUU